UUUACAGUUGUAAAUGCAAACCGUUUUCCAACUCAAGGCAAUUAACAACCCACGGUGUUCUGGCAGGAAAACAUCGGGUAAGAAAGGAAAGUGGGUCCCAAGGCUCGGACCUUCCCAACCCUGUCAGACCGGCAAGACAGAAAUGACAACGGGUUCAGGACUCUUGCCAGCCUCUAGAGAAAUCCUGGAAUAGGCAGCUCUUAGACAUUAAUACCCUGCACAGAUCGAGAAUAUCACGGUCUCGAAGAUUCUCAAACCAAUGGAUUUCUCUUCCACGAACAUGUUCUCAACCUCAGCCACGAGGUGACCGAGCCGCACGUACUAAGGAUUUAAAUCAAAGAGAUGUACAGGGUAUUAAACAUACACCAAGGGAACAGUGAACUUGGAUACAAGGUCAAGAUCAGCAACAAGUUCUACAAUCCGGUGCCGACAUCAGAUACAAGCUUCGAGGGCAGAUUUCUCUUCAAAGGCUUAUUCCAGUUUCACGAGGCCGGCAGGAGGCGCACACGCUUGCCAGGGCAAACCGAGACUCCGGCAUUCACUCGUGCAGCAGGCGCUGCGCGUCUGCCCGCAGUCCGCCUAGAAGCAUUUGCGGUGGACGAUGGAGGGGCCCGACUCGUCGUACUCCUGCUUGCUGAUCCACAUCUGCUGGAAGGUGGACAGCGAGGCCAGGAUGGAGCCGCCGAUCCACACGGAGUACUUGCGCUCGGGGGGAGCGAUGAUCUGUGGAAACAAAACCGUGGCUCUAGCUUAGGCCGCGGUCUUCACAGCGGGGCCCCGGGAGGCCCAGCCCACGGCCGCACUAGACUCACCUUGAUCUUCAUCGUGCUGGGCGCCAGCGCGGUGAUCUCCUUCUGCAUCCUGUCGGCGAUGCCGGGGUACAUGGUGGUCCCGCCAGACAGCACCGUGUUAGCGUAGAGGUCCUUCCGGAUGUCGACGUCACACUUCAUGAUGGAGUUGAAGGUGGUCUCGUGGAUGCCACAGGACUCCAUCCCUAAGAGACAAUGCUCUCCCUUAGAGGGCGUCCGCCCCUCUUCCGGGCCCAAAGCGACGCAGCCCGAACUCGCGGCUGCCCAAGACACCUACCCAGGAAGGAAGGCUGGAAGAGCGCCUCGGGGCAGCGGAACCGCUCGUUGCCGAUGGUGAUCACCUGCCCGUCGGGCAGCUCGUAGCUCUUCUCCAGGGAGGACGAGGACGCGGCCGUGGCCAUCUCCUGCUCAAAAUCCAGGGCCACGUAGCAGAGCUUCUCCUUGAUGUCACGCACAAUUUCCCGCUCGGCGGUGGUGGUGAAGCUGUAGCCGCGCUCCGUGAGGAUCUUCAUGAGGUAGUCCGUCAGGUCCCGGCCAGCCAGGUCCAGACGCAGGAUGGCGUGGGGCAGGGCGUACCCCUCGUAGAUGGGCACAGUGUGGGUGACCCCGUCCCCAGA
rnacentral:lncRNA from 1 species